GGGCAAUGCGCAGCUACACAUGCAGUCGAGGGGUAGAAGAAGCUUGCUUUUUUGAGACCGGCGCACGGGUGAGUAACGCGUAUGCAACCUACCUUAUACAGGGGAAUAGCCCGAAGAAAUUCGGAUUAAUGCUCCAUGGUUUAUCGAUAUGGCAUCGUAUUGAUAAUAAAGAUUUAUCGGUAUAAGAUGGGCAUGCGUAUCAUUAGCUAGUUGGUGUGGUAACGGCAUACCAAGGCAACGAUGAUUAGGGGUCCUGAGAGGGAGAUCCCCCACACUGGUACUGAGACACGGACCAGACUCCUACGGGAGGCAGCAGUGAGGAAUAUUGGUCAAUGGAGGCAACUCUGAACCAGCCAUGCCGCGUGCAGGAUGACGGUCCUAUGGAUUGUAAACUGCUUUUGUACAGGAAGAAACCUCCCUACGAGUAGGGACUUGACGGUACUGUAAGAAUAAGGAUCGGCUAACUCCGUGCCAGCAGCCGCGGUAAUACGGAGGAUCCGAGCGUUAUCCGGAAUUAUUGGGUUUAAAGGGUUCGUAGGCGGCCUUAUAAGUCAGUGGUGAAAUUUCCUAGCUUAACUAAGACACUGCCAUUGAUACUGCUUGACUUGAAUAAUAUGGAAGUAACUAGAAUAUGUAGUGUAGCGGUGAAAUGCUUAGAUAUUACAUGGAAUACCAAUUGCGAAGGCAGGUUACUACGUAUUUAUUGACGCUGAUGAACGAAAGCGUGGGGAGCGAACAGGAUUAGAUACCCUGGUAGUCCACGCCGUAAACGAUGGAUACUAGCUGUUCGGAUUUCGGACUGAGUGGCUAAGCGAAAGUGAUAAGUAUCCCACCUGGGGAGUACGUUCGCAAGAAUGAAACUCAAAGGAAUUGACGGGGGCCCGCACAAGCGGUGGAGCAUGUGGUUUAAUUCGAUGAUACGCGAGGAACCUUACCAGGCUUAAAUGUAGAUUGACAGAUUUGGAAACAGAUUUUUUCUUCGGACAUUUACAAGGUGCUGCAUCGCUAGUCGUCAGCUCCGUGCCGAGAGUGUCAGGGUUAAGAUCCUAUAACGAGCGCACCCCUAUUGGUUAGCUUACCAUUGGCGUCAGUGGCG
rnacentral:rRNA from 1 species